GACGAACGCUGGCGGCGUGCUUAACACAUGCAAGUCGAACGGUAAGGCCCUUCGGGGUACACGAGUGGCGAACGGGUGAGUAACACGGGGGUGAUCUGCCCUGCACUUCGGGAUAAGCCUGGGAAACUGGGUCUAAUACCGGAUAGCACCACUGCCUACAUGGGUGGUGGUGGAAAGCUUUUGCGGUGCGGGAUGGGCCCGCGGCCUAUCAGCUUGGUGGUGGGGUGAUGGGCUACCAAGGCGACGACGGGUAGCCGGCCUGAGAGGGUGACCGGCGACACUGGGACGGAGAUACGGCCCAGAAUCCUACGGGAGGCAGCAGUGGGGAAUAUUGCACAAUGGGCGCAAGCCUGAUGCAGCGACGCCGCGUGAGGGAUGACGGCCUUCGGGUUGUAAACCUCUUUCGGCACCGACGAAGCGCAAGUGACGGUAGGUGCAGAAGAAGGACCGGCCAACUACGUGCCAGCAGCCGCGGUAA
rnacentral:rRNA from 1 species